AUACGGGGGGUGCAAGCGUUAAUUGGAAUUACUGGGCGUAAAGCGCGCGUAGGCGGUUUGCUCAGUCGGAUGUGAAAGCCCAGGGCUCAACCUUGGAACUGCAUACGAUACUGGCAAACUAGAGUGUGAGAGAGGAUAGUGGAAUUUCCGGUGUAGCGGUGAAAUGCGUAGAUAUCGGAAGGAACAUCAGUGGCGAAGGCGACUGUCUGGCUCAACACUGACGCUGAGGUGCGAAAGCGUGGGUAGCAAACAGGAUUAGAAACCCUUGUAGUCC
rnacentral:rRNA from 1 species